CGCAGGGCGCAGCUACCAUGCAGUCGAGCGGUAGCACAGAGAGCUUGCUCUCGGGUGACGAGCGGCGGACGGGUGAGUAAUGUCUGGGAAACUGCCUGAUGGAGGGGGAUAACUACUGGAAACGGUAGCUAAUACCGCAUAAUGUCGCAAGACCAAAGUGGGGGACCUUCGGGCCUCAUGCCAUCAGAUGUGCCCAGAUGGGAUUAGCUAGUAGGUGGGGUAACGGCUCACCUAGGCGACGAUCCCUAGCUGGUCUGAGAGGAUGACCAGCCACACUGGAACUGAGACACGGUCCAGACUCCUACGGGAGGCAGCAGUGGGGAAUAUUGCACAAUGGGCGCAAGCCUGAUGCAGCCAUGCCGCGUGUGUGAAGAAGGCCUUCGGGUUGUAAAGCACUUUCAGCGGGGAGGAAGGCGGUGAGGUUAAUAACCUUGUCGAUUGACGUUACCCGCAGAAGAAGCACCGGCUAACUCCGUGCCAGCAGCCGCGGUAAUACGGAGGGUGCAAGCGUUAAUCGGAAUUACUGGGCGUAAAGCGCACGCAGGCGGUCUGUCAAGUCGGAUGUGAAAUCCCCGGGCUCAACCUGGGAACUGCAUUCGAAACUGGCAGGCUAGAGUCUUGUAGAGGGGGGUAGAAUUCCAGGUGUAGCGGUGAAAUGCGUAGAGAUCUGGAGGAAUACCGGUGGCGAAGGCGGCCCCCUGGACAAAGACUGACGCUCAGGUGCGAAAGCGUGGGGAGCAAACAGGAUUAGAUACCCUGGUAGUCCACGCCGUAAACGAUGUCGAUUUGGAGGUUGUGCCCUUGAGGCGUGGCUUCCGGAGCUAACGCGUUAAAUCGACCGCCUGGGGAGUACGGCCGCAAGGUUAAAACUCAAAUGAAUUGACGGGGGCCCGCACAAGCGGUGGAGCAUGUGGUUUAAUUCGAUGCAACGCGAAGAACCUUACCUGGUCUUGACAUCCACAGAACUUUCCAGAGAUGGAUUGGUGCCUUCGGGAACUGUGAGACAGGUGCUGCAUGGCUGUCGUCAGCUCGUGUUGUGAAAUGUUGGGUUAAGUCCCGCAACGAGCGCAACCCUUAUCCUUUGUUGCCAGCGGUCCGGCCGGGAACUCAAAGGAGACUGCCAGUGAUAAACUGGAGGAAGGUGGGGAUGACGUCAAGUCAUCAUGGCCCUUACGACCAGGGCUACACACGUGCUACAAUGGCAUAUACAAAGAGAAGCGACCUCGCGAGAGCAAGCGGACCUCAUAAAGUAUGUCGUAGUCCGGAUUGGAGUCUGCAACUCGACUCCAUGAAGUCGGAAUCGCUAGUAAUCGUAGAUCAGAAUGCUACGGUGAAUACGUUCCCGGGCCUUGUACACACCGCCCGUCACACCAUGGGAGUGGGUUGCAAAAGAAGUAGGUAGCUUAACCUUCGGGAGGGCGCUACUACUUUGAUCUGCU
rnacentral:rRNA from 1 species